GGAAGAAUUAACUUCAAUUGUUUCAAUAUAAAACAUAAUACUACUAAAUGUUUAUAACAAUAUUGUGCUUAAACCAAAGGAAGUGUGACAGCGCUCUCAUGCAGAUAGUACAAAAUGUAAAAGAAAAAGGAGAAUUACUAUAUGUGUGUUCUAACCAUCAUUUAAAUACUCAACAUGUUAAUUCAAUAAAAUAGUUGAAAGCAGUGAAAGUUAAAAGUAUCUGGUGCACAAUUAAUCAUCGCAGAAGGAAGCGUACAUGCAGGCAUUUCACAGAAACAAGUUGUGGACCCACUCCAUAGAACAUAGUAUACGACUGUCAGCAGAAACGAAUGGAUAAACUAACCUCAAUUGCCUUAAUAUAUAUGGAAGAGAAUAAUACUAUUAAAGACUUACAAUAAUAUCUCAAUUAAACUAAAUGAAGCACGAUAACAAUCAAUAACUGAUGCUCAACAACAGACUUACAGUUGGCCAAUGGAAAAUAAAACUGAAAAAAUCAAGAAAAUUAAUGACAUUAUAACGAAAUAACUCAGCGUUGAUACAGUAGUCUUUAAUAAGAAGAAAUAAAAUCAGUUAAUAAGUGCAGAAAGAGUCAAGAAAUAACUAAGAUAGGUUAAGUGAAUGACAACGAUAAUUCACUACUCACAUCGAAGAAGUUUAUACAAGGGUCAACGCAGUUAUGAGAAACCAACUACCAAAUUGGAAUAAAUGUGUACGAAGAAUCGAAGUUGAUACUACCGGAAUGUUAACGAGGUCUGUAUGCAACCAAUCAUCGUAGAAGAAAGUGUACAUGCAGGAACCCCACGAGAAUUGGCUACGGAUCCAACUUUGCAAAACAUAAUAUACGACGGUAUGAAGAUAUCGAAGGUAAUAAAUACCGAGGUAACCAAUCAUAACCUAAAAAGGGGAAGAAUGUUGUAAACCAUCUUGGAAUAGAAAUUGAUAAUAAUAAAAAGCUUGUUACUCACAUCUGAAGAUAUACAUUAAAGCCGACACAGUUACAAGAAGCCUACUACCAAACUUAAGUGAAUACUUAUGGAAUACUGAACCAGAUACUACCGAAACAGUCAAGGCUGCAACAGGAAACUGGAAAACCAAGGAAAUAUUCUGACACUAUAGCAAAACAAUUUGAUGCUAACGAAGCGGUCUUAGCAAACAAGAUAGUGGACGGACUAUUUUACUAUACAGAUAUU